rnacentral:rRNA from 1 species
GACGAACGCUGGCGGCGUGCUUAACACAUGCAAGUCGAACGGAAAGGCCCUGCUCUUGUGGGGUGCUCGAGUGGCGAACGGGUGAGUAACACGUGAGUAUCCCGCCCUUGAAUUUGGGAGAACUUCAGGAAACUGGGGCUCAUACCGGAUAUGAGCUCCUGCUGCGUGGUGGGGGUUGGAAAGUUUCGGCGGUUGUGGCUGGACUCGCGGGUUAUCAGCUUGUUGGUGUGGUAGUGGCUUACCAAGGGUAUGACGGGUAGCCGGCCUGGGAGGGUGGCCGGCCACAAUGGGACUGAGAUACGCCCCAGAAUCCUACGGGAGGCAGCAGGGGGGAGUAUUGCAGAAUGGGCGGAAGCCUGAUGCAGAGGCGCCGCGUGCGGGAUGACGGCCUUCGGGUUGUAAACCGCUUUCGCCUGUGACGAAGAGUGAGUGACGGUAAUGGGUAAAGAAGCACCGGCUAACUACGUG